AUACGUAGGUGACAAGCGUUAUCCGGAUUUACUGGGCGUAAAGGGCGUGUAGGCGGUCUUGCAAGUCAGAAGUGAAAUUCCUGAGCUCAACUCGGGCGCUGCUUCUGAAACUGCAGGACUUGAGUGCUGGAGGGGAUAGCGGAAUUCCUAGUGGAGCGGUAAAAUGCGCAGAUAUUAGGAAGAACACCGGUGGCGAAGGCGGCUAUCUGGACAGUAACUGACGCGGAGGCGCGAAAGCGUGGGGAGAAAACAGGAUUAGAUUCCCUGGUAGUCCACGCCGGAAACGAUGAAUACUAGGUGUAGGGGGUAUCGACUCCCUCUGUGCCGCAGUUAACACAAUAAGUAUUCCGCCUGGGGAGUACGGCCGCAAGGUUGAAACUCAAAUGAAUUGACGGGG
rnacentral:rRNA from 1 species